rnacentral:sRNA from 2 species
AUGGUCCACGCGUAGACGCCGGUUCUGAGCGCGACGUCCACACCCGGCCGACAACUGCUCGCUACGUUUUGUGGGCC